CUGAGGCCCUGGUUACUUAUCCCAGUUUCCUCAGAAAAUAACCUAUGAUUCUGUUGAGAAGAAGCCCACUGUUAUGUUUGAAACUAAAUCUUUUUAUUUUUUUAUUUCUAGAAGUUCUUUCUACUUGGCAAGGAAGACACAGAAGUUUAGAAGAAGACACACUCGUUUAGAGAGGAAAGAGCAUAUAUUUGGAGCCAAGAAAUAGUAUUUAUUCUUGUCCCUGAAACAGGCCCUUCUGUUGCUCCUUCCCCUUACUGAUUAAAUAAGGCAGAAGCUGGAAGGCAGUGGUGUGAAAAGAUGGGUGAUCAACAACUCUAUUCCUUCUAACUUCAGGAACCUCCCCAAACUAGUUUGCUCCUCUUUGUACUCUAUAUUCGUGCCCCACUCACAGUCUUGUGACAGAAUGCUUAGAAAUUCUAUUGGCCUGAUCUGGCCAGUAUCCAGUGAUGAACUGAUUGGGUUGAUUUAGCAAAAACCCCUGUAGUACCCAUGUUGUUUUGGGGAAGUCACAGAGCCAUCCAGCCCAGCUGCCUCAAAGCCCAAGUGCUGCUGCUUGUCCAAUUCAUGGGAGAAAAUGCUUAUGUAUUUAACCAUUCUAGUUUUUGUUUGUUUGUUUUUACUUAAAACAUAUGGCUUACUAAGGUACUUGUAAUUCGUGAAGAUGUGCAAAACUCACCCUGUUUUUGGAUAUUUCCCCUUUCCCAGACAGCACAGAAUUGCUAGAGGACACGGAACUAACUGUUGGAGAUCAUUCUUUGCUCACACUUAGGAUGAUGUUUACAGAACAUCUCAGCACAGAAGUUAGUCAUCAUAGAGAGCCUCUUGAAGCUGAGAAAUAAGGAUAAUUCUUCAUCUUUAUCAACUUCCACUUCCCACUUUUUUCUGGCCGACGUAUUGUGUUUCUACAUAGUAAAUUCACUUAAAAUUGCUCAGUAUUCCUGUGAAUUAAGAGACCUCUGGAGUAAGAGACGUAUUAUGCCUUUUGAACAGCCUUUCUGAGAUUCAAUCUUUCCAUCCAUUAAAAAGAAGAUGGUGACAAUUGAUAUUUGUAUGAUAGCAGAUGUUAGAAGAGAUCAAAACCACACAAGUCCAUGGUUAUGCUGCUACCAGCCGCCACAGCCUAUCUGGAAGACUGUGGAAGACUAUUAUCGAAUUGCUACACAGAAAAGAACCCAUGAAAAGACAAAACUCUUUUGAAAAUAUAAGAGAAACCUUAUAACCCCGACACCCAAAUCAUUAGGGAAAAGAGAUGAUGAUAAUGAUUACAUUUCCUCUGGAAAUAUGUCCAGAAGAGGAACUGGGAGAUCAUAAGAAAGAAUCUGACACUGGAGUUGCAACAGCCACCUUGUGUCAAUAAGGAAAGAGCUGGCUGGAGAAGUCUGUACUGAAGAAAAGUGGUGAACAUCAGGUGGGCAGGAAACCUACAUAGAAAAUACCCUGCGAUCAGCACUUUUGUCUUGCUGCUCUGGCUGCUCUCUGUAGAUCCCAGAUAUAACAUGCUCAUUUCAUUCACUGUAUAAAAUGAACUGACUACAGGAAGAAACUGAGCAAAUUAACACCUAAAUCAAGAGGAAAUCAACAACCCUGGGAACCCACAGAACACGUCUGACAGCUGCAGGACUCAGAUUCUCAGUUCAACAAAUUAUGAUUCACGAAGACUCUCUGACAGGAAAAACAGUUUCUACUACAACCUAGUGGGUUUAUAUGUUAGUGUGUGUGAGCCUGAGGGGGUGGGGGAAGGAGGGAGAGAGGGAGGGGGAGGGAGAGAGUUAUGUGUGUGUGUGUGUGGUUUAAUUAGUUUAGCUAAAGGAAGAAGAACAUGCCCCAAAUUUUUAAUUUUAAUCAUAAUUGGCAUUUCAUUAGCUUAAGAUGAACAGUUUUCUAUUAUGUGCUCCUACUAGACGGCUAGAGUGCAUGGCAGAGUGGUUAUGUUCAAAACCUCACCUUGGCAGGGGCAUUCUCAUUGGGACUAAAUUUAGCUUAAAAUAACAAUAAAACUGUCUUUUAUUAA